GCAUUUAGCUCAAUUGGUAGAGCGUUGGAUUCUUAAUCCGUAGGUUGCAGGUUCAAUCCCUGCGAUGCA
rnacentral:tRNA from 1 species